CGAACGGGUGAGUAACACGUGGGCAAUCUGCCCUUCACUCUGGGACAAGCCCUGGAAACGGGGUCUAAUACCGGAUACGAGCCUCCAAGGCAUCUUGGAGGCUGGAAAGCUCCGGCGGUGAAGGAUGAACCCGCGGCCUAUCAGCUUGUUGGUGAGGUAAUGGCUCACCAAGGCGACCGACCGGUAGCCGGCCUGAGAGGGCGACCGGCCACACUGGGACUGAGACACGGCCCAGACUCCUACGGGAGGCAGCAGUGGGGAAUAUUGCACAAUGGGCGAAAGCCUGAUGCAACGACGCCGCGUGAGGGAUGACCGCCUUCGGGUUGUUAACCUCUUUCAGCAGGGAAGAAGCGAGAGUGACGGUACCUG
rnacentral:rRNA from 1 species